AGAGUUUGAUCCUGGCUCAGAACGAACGCUGGCGGCAUGCCUAACACAUGCAAGUCGAACGUGAUCCAUGACUUCGGUUGUGGUGAAAGUGGCAGACGGGUGAGUAACGCGUGGGAACCUGCCCCAAGGUAGGGAAUAACCGCGGGAAACUGCGGCUAAUACCCUAUGUGCCCUACGGGGCAAAGAUUUAUCGCCUUGGGAGGGGCCCGCGUCGGAUUAGGUAGUUGGUAGGGUAACGGCCUACCAAGCCUACGAUCCGUAGCUGGUCUGAGAGGAUGAUCAGCCACACUGGGACUGAGAUACGGCCCAGACUCCUACGGGAGGCAGCAGUGGGGAAUAUUGGACAAUGGGGGCAACCCUGAUCCAGCAAUGCCGCGUGAGUGAUGAAGGCCUUCGGGUUGUAAAGCUCUUUCGGCGGGGAAGAUGAUGACGGUACCCGCAGAAGAAGCCCCGGCUAACUUCGUGCCAGCAGCCGCGGUA
rnacentral:rRNA from 1 species